AAUGAACGUUGGCGGCGUGGAUUAGGCAUGCAAGUCGUGCGAGAACCGUAGCAAUACGGGGACAGCGGCGAAAGGGAGAGUAACGCGUGGAUACCUACCCCCAGGACCAGGAUAGCCGCGGGAAACUGCGGGUAAUACUGGAUAAUGUCUCCGGACCAACGGUGUGAUUCCGCCCGGGGAUGGGUCCGCGUCCUAUUAGCUAGUUGGUAGGGUAAUGGCCUACCAAGGCAAAGAUGGGUAUGGGGUGUGAGAGCAUGCCCCCACUCACUGGGACUGAGACACUGCCCAGACACCUACGGGUGGCUGCAGUCGAGGAUCUUCGGCAAUGGGCGCAAGCCUGACCGAGCGACGCCGCGUGCGGGAUGAAGGCCUUCGGGUUGUAAACCGCUGUCAGAGGGGAGGAAAUGCCGUGGGGUUCUCUCCACGGUUUGACCUAUCCUCAGAGGAAGGACGGGCUAAGUUCGUGCCAGCCGCCGCGGUAACAC
rnacentral:rRNA from 1 species